CUCACAUGCCAUUAUAUAAACUAGUAAAAACCUUAUUCUCAAACCACUAUUUGUUUCUGAGAUUAGAAAUUUUCUUCAAAGCACUGGACUUUCUUCCCUUAACAAUACUCGCUGUUUUUUCUUAUUCCAAGUUAAUCUAUUACCAUCCGUUCUCAGCUCAAUAUGAGUUCUGAUGAAAAUCAGUUGAAUGAGGAUUUGCAAGAGGUGAAUAAUGUUUCACCUCAAAACAAUUUGUCUGGAGAUCAAAUAAGUAAUCACUCAUAUGAAUAUGAUGAUGAUCAGUCGAAUGAGGAUUUUUAUGAGGAUUUAGAUCAGUUUGCUGAGGAUAUUCAUGAGUAUCCGAGGAAUCUACGGCGGAAUGAGCAUCUAAAUCGAUUGAAUGAGGAUAUUCAUGAGUAUGAGAGAAAUCUGCAGCAGAAUGAUCAUCCAGAUCAUCAGUGGAAUGAGGUUUUUUAUGGGCAUAGCAGGAAUCUGCGGCAGAAUGAUCAUCUAGAUCAUCAGAUGAAUGAGGUUUUUUAUGGGCAUAGCAGGAAUCUACCGCAGAAUGAUCAUCUAGAUCAUCAGAUGAAUGAGGUUUUUUAUGGACAUAGCGGGAAUCUGCCGCAGAAUGAUCAUCUAGAUCAUCAGAUGAAUGGGGUUUUUUAUGGGCAUAGGAGAAAUCUGCGGCAGAAUGAUCAUCUAGAUCAUCAGAUGAAUGAGGUUUUUUAUGGGCAUAACAGGAAUCUGCCGCAGAAUGAUCAUCUAGAUCAUCAGAUGAAUGGGGUUUUUUAUGGUCAUAGGAGGAAUCUGCGGCAGAAUGAUCAUCUAGAUCAUCAGAUGAAUGGGGUUUUUUAUGAUCAUAGGAGGAAUCUGCAACAGAGUAAUCAUCUAGAUCAUCAGAUGAAUGGGGUUUUUUUACGGGCAUAGGAGGAAUCUGCGGCAGAAUGCAAUUUUUGAGCAUUCUUACCGUUGUUUUUCGGUCUCAUCUCUCGUAAGGUCAAUUCUGGAAUCUGGUGAUAAAAUUAUCAUGCCUGCUUCGGCUCUAGACCGCCUCGAACUACUCACUGUGGAGUUUUAGAAUUCACAGCUGACGAAGGGACGGUGUCCUUACCUAAGAAGAAGACAAAAACCAAGAGUUCCGGAAAGCUUGUUUUUGGGUCAAAAGGAAAUGCAACUAAUGUUUGUCUAAAAAAUGAAAGUCUAGAGUCACCUAAGAAGAAGACAAAAACCAAAGAAUUUCAAGCUUUCACAUGAAAGAAGUAUUCAUGAAUAGGUUGAUCCUUGUUGGAUUGUUUUUCAGAUAUUGAUAUUAGUAGAGAACAGUUUAAUUUACAUAAACUUUUAGAAGUUACUCUUCAAUAUACAUUUCUUU